UAUCAUAAGGGCACGUAUGCCGUCCAUUGUCCAUAAAGCAAGGGCGCGGAGCCCAUUGCUUGCGGCGCACAGGCCGUAUCAUAAGGGCACGUAUGCCGUCCAUUGUCCAUAAGGCAAGGGCGCAAAGCCCGUUGCUUGCGGCGCACAGGCCGGAUCCCAACGGCACACACGCCCUUUCCCCAAGGGCACGCGGGCCCUGCGGCCUGGAUAGGCAGACAGGAGAAGUACCGCGCCAAAAGUCCUGAGGGUCUUGGGGAGGUGGGGGUGGCACAAUGGAAGAUGUGGAAAGGUAUUGCACAAAGCUGUGAACUGUAAAGCGACGGGUAGACACGAAGGCACGGCAAGCAGGACCGCGCAUGGCAAGCAAGUAGCCCGCCCGCACAGCUGUGCAUGCCCUUUUGCUUUCAGUGACUUGCCGAACGCCUUGUCCGCAACGCUUCGCGCGCCUUUGCUCCGCUUGAAAGCUCCGCUCUGCUCCGAUUUGCUCCCGAAUGCGGCCCCCGAACCAAAGCGUGGUUCAAAGCGCCAGAGAAGCUUCGAAGGGCAUUCCCUUACGAUCAGAGAGCGAGCGUGAUCAAGCUAAGGGGUUCCAUUGAGCAGGAUCGCGCAACAAAACGCU
rnacentral:lncRNA from 1 species